CCGACUUCAACGUCUACCAAUAUUUGCCCGCCGUUAAAAUAAAAAAACGGAAACAAGCAACACCUAACGACCUCACCACUAGUUUAUUUAUUCGCGCUUGCUUUCCAGUCCAAUUUCACCAAUUCGUUUUUUGAAUAAGUAAUCGAUCUCUCCCCCCCUUCCCUGUCUUCUAUGGCAGCAGUUGUAUAAGCUAGUGGAGGAGAGAGGUUUGAAACGUCACCGCCGAUGCAUUCUUCCGCUUCAAAAUCAGCAACUGACGCCGCACCUGAAUCAUCUUCCUCUUCUUUCGCUGCCAAGACGCCUGAUUUCAACGAUCACUCAAAUGCUUCUCCCAUUCCUAACCGUGAAAUCGAUUCUCAGUCACCGGCAGCAGCGAGGAGUGAAGAGUAUAGGCAACUGUUUCGCCUUCCCCCGGAAGAAGUCCUUGUACAAGACUUUAAUUGUGCAUACCAAGGAAGUAUUCUUCUUCAGGGGCGUAUGUACCUUUUUGUACAUUAUAUUUGCUUUUAUUCAAAAAUAUUUGGAUUUGAGACAAAGAAAAUAAUCCCUUUCCAAGAAGUUACGAGUGUAAAAAAAGCAAAGACAGCUGGGAUCUUCCCUAAUGCAAUAGAAGUUUUUGCCGGAGGAAAGAAGUACUUCUUUGCAUCAUUUCUCUCUCGUGAUGAAGCUUUGAAUCUCAUCAGGGAUGGAUGGUUACAACAUGGUAAUGGUUCCAAUUUGAUCGCAGAACAACAGGAUUUAAUUUCUGUAUCCAGUAGCCUAGAUAAUGGACUUGUUGUGAUUGAAAAGGUGAAUAGCUUCAAGCAAACCAGUGAAUUAGAUUCCCCUGACAGUAGACAAAAGGCUACUGCUCGUUCGCCUGAUUCUGAAUUUUCACCAUCCGUUGAAAAGGGCAGUGUCUCCAUGAUACAAAUUCAAGUAGCAGAUGAAUUGGAACAGGAUGUUGAACUAGUUAGAAACACCAACUCUUCAUCUUCAGCAACUUUGGCAUGGAAUGUGGAAAAUCUCAACGCACCUCAGAUGCGUGAAUCUUUUAAAGAAGUUGGACAGACAAAGUUUCCGAUAAAGGUAGAGGAGUUCUUUUAUUUGUUCUUUUCAGAUGCUGCUGCUAAAUUUGUUGAAUCUUUUCAUAGUAGAUGUGGAGAUAAAGAUUUCAGGUGCUCUUUAUGGUACAUAGAUGAUAAAUCUGGACAUGCUCGUGAUGUCUCUUUUCAGCAUCCUAUCAAAAUAUAUUUUGGUGCAAAAUUUGGCAGCUGCCAGGAAGUCCAGAAAUUUCGAGUCUACAGAAACAGUCAUUUGAUUAUCGAGACAUCACAGGAGAUCAGUGACGUCCGUUUUGGAGAUUGUUUUCGCGUUGAGGGAAUUUUUCAAUUUUUUAACUUUGUUGGUGUCCUUGUACUGCUUUACCUUUACACACAAAUCGGUGAAAAGAGAAGGAAUUUGGGAAGGGAGUGGAAAAGGAGGACAAAAACUUGGUGAAAUGUUCCUCAAGAUUCAGUUGUUAUGAUAAUUUCACAUGACAGAUCAACAGGGAGGAGAUGUUAAAGAAAAAAAUGAGGAUUAGUUCAUGAAAUAAGAAAUGAAAUGUGCGGAUAGAGAGUGCAAUGGUUGUUUAACAUGAAAAAAAAGUUCUAUAACAGACUUGGCAGCAAGUAUUCCGUAUAGUUCUCGGCAUGAGCUUUAAUCUGCUUUAAGACCGUGAUCUCCACUAUUUAAACCUAACCUACCCUGCCCCCCUUCUUCUCUUUAUGGCUACAAUUGUCAGGGACUAUGGGAUGUGACUAGAGAUGGUGAUGGAUCGAAUGAAGGAUGCAUUUUGCGGAUAUACGUGAACGUUGUAUUCAGCAAGAAAACUAUUUUUAAAGGCACAUGAAUUGUUGAAGUAGAAGAAGCUUGAAAAACCAGGAGGUUAAUCAUCACAAGAAUUUAAGCCAGCUCCUUCUCUGCAUGAUGUGCUUUGCUUUGUGUGGUAUUACAUUACUAACUUUAGGUAACCAUUUCCAAUUUUCUUAAAGCAGAGGCAGAGCCUCCUGUCAGCAUGAUUCAGAAGGGAGAAGUUCAUUCUGAAAGAGAAGUGAAGACUGGAGAAGCUUCAGAAAUCUCUUACAAGCAGAGUGACCACAUAAGAAUGCAGUAGAUGUCUAGUUCUGUGGCCCUUAGUCAACGGGGUGGCGAUCUUGUGCAGGGAAAGUUCACAAAUGCUACAUCCAUUGCAUCUUCUAGCUCAAUGAAUUUCAACACUGGCAUGUUCUAUAUUUGUGGCUUUAACGCCUAAUCAUCAGUAUUUUCCUGAAUUUCCUUUA